rnacentral:ncRNA from 1 species
GUCCUAUACAGAUGUAUUCAACGCAAGAUAGUUGAGCAUCUCCCUGUAGGACGAAGUUUAUUAGAAGCUCUGACAACAAUUCUUAUUGUGUGGCUGUGGCUACGGUCGAAAUGAGAUGAGUUAGAGUGGAAUAGGUUAACCGUAAGACCUUGGGUUGAAAAAUUCUAAAAUGGAGCUAGAGAUAUGGAUUUAUUAAAUUUUGCAUUUUCUGGUUACGGUCGG